rnacentral:rRNA from 1 species
AACGAACGCUGGCGGCAUGCCUAACACAUGCAAGUCGAACGAAGGCUUCGGCCUUAGUGGCGCACGGGUGCGUAACGCGUGGGAAUCUGCCCUUUGCUUCGGAAUAACAGUUAGAAAUGACUGCUAAUACCGGAUGAUGUCGCAAGACCAAAGAUUUAUCGGCAAAGGAUGAGCCCGCGUAGGAUUAGCUAGUUGGUGGGGUAAAGGCCUACCAAGGCGACGAUCCUUAGCUGGUCUGAGAGGAUGAUCAGCCACACUGGGACUGAGACACGGCUCAGACUCCUACGGGAGGCAGCAGUGGGGAAUAUUGGACAAUGGGCGAAAGCCUGAUCCAGCAAUGCCGCGUGAGUGAUGAAGGCCUUAGGGUUGUAAAGCUCUUUUACCCGGGAUGAUAAUGACAGUACCGGGAGAAUAAGCGCCGGCUAACUCCGUG